rnacentral:rRNA from 1 species
AGAGUUUGAUCCUGGCUCAGAUUGAACGCUGGCGGCAGGCCUAACACAUGCAAGUCGAGCGGAUGAGUGGAGCUUGCUCCAUGAUUCAGCGGCGGACGGGUGAGUAAUGCCUAGGAAUCUGCCUGGUAGUGGGGGACAACGUUUCGAAAGGAACGCUAAUACCGCAUACGUCCUACGGGAGAAAGUGGGGGAUCUUCGGACCUCACGCUAUCAGAUGAGCCUAGGUCGGAUUAGCUAGUUGGCGAGGUAAAGGCUCACCAAGGCGACGAUCCGUAACUGGUCCGAGAGGAUGAUCAGUCACACUGGAACUGAGACACGGUCCAGACUCCUACGGGAGGCAGCAGUGGGGAAUAUUGGACAAUGGGCGAAAGCCUGAUCCAGCCAUGCCGCGUGUGUGAAGAAGGUCUUCGGAUUGUAAAGCACUUUAAGUUGGGAGGAAGGGCAGUAAGCUAAUACCUUGCUGUUUUGACGUUACCGACAGAAUAAGCACCGGCUAACUUCGUGCCAGCAGCCGCGGUAAUA